rnacentral:rRNA from 1 species
AAACUGGCGUUCUUGAGUGGGCGAGAAGUAUGCGGAAUGCGUGGUGUAGCGGUGAAAUGCAUAGAUAUCACGCAGAACUCCGAUUGCGAAGGCAGCAUACCGGCGCCCUACUGACGCUGAGGCACGAAAGCGUGGGUAUCGAACAGGAUUAGAUACCCUGGUAGUCCACGCAGUAAACGAUGAAUGCUAACUGUCCGGUGCGAGUGAGCGCUGGGCGGUACAGCGAAAGCGUUAAGCAUUCCACCUGGGGAGUACGCCGGCAACGGUGAAACUCAAAGGAAUUGACGGGGGCCCGCACAAGCGGAGGAACAUGUGGUUUAAUUCGAUGAUACGCGAGGAACCUUACCCGGGCUCAAACGCAGGCUGACGGGUCCCGAAAGGGGCCUUUCUUCGGACAUUCUGCGAGGUGCUGCAUGGUUGUCGUCAGCUCGUGCCGUGAGGUGUCGGCUUAAGUGCCAUAACGAGCGCAACCCCUGUCCACAGUUGCCAGCAGGUAAAGCUGGGGACUCUGUGGAGACUGCCGGCGCAAGCUGCGAGGAAGGCGGGGAUGACGUCAAAUCAGCACGGCCCUUACGUCCGGGGCGACACACGUGUUACAAUGGCAGGUACAGCGGGAUGCCACGGGGCGACCCGGCGCUGAACCCGAAAGCCUGUCUCAGUUCGGAUUGGAGUCUGCAACCCGACUCCAUGAAGCUGGAUUCGCUAGUAAUCGCGCAUCAGCCACGGCGCGGUGAAUACGUUCCCGGGCCUUGUACACACCGCCCGUCAAGCCAUGGAAGCCGGGGGUACCUGAAGUGCGUGACCGCGAGGAGCGCCCUAGGGUAAAACCGGUGACUGGGGCUAAGUCGUAACAAGGUAACCGUAA